rnacentral:rRNA from 1 species
GAUGAACGCUAGCGGCAGGCCUAAUACAUGCAAGUCAAGGGGUAGCAAUACACCGGCGGACGGGUGCGUAACGCGUACACAACGUACCUCAGAGAGGGGGAUAGCAUUGGGAAACUGGUGGUAAAACCCCCAUGGUGUUGUUGAAUGGCAUCAUUUAACAACUAAAGGUUACACUCUGAGAUCGGUGUGCGUCUGAUUAGCUAGUUGGUGGGGUUAACGGCCCACCAAGGCCGACGAUCUUUUAAGCUGGUCUGAGAGGACGACCAGCCACACUGGAACUGAGACACGGUCCAGACUCCUACGGGAGGCAGCAGUGGGGAAUAUUGGACAAU